rnacentral:lncRNA from 1 species
UCAUGUUUGGCAUCACCAGGAACUUCGUUAUCCUAUCCCAGAGAGCAGUCCGUGGUAGAUGCGGUGAGGGUGCGUGCGCCGGAGCAGAUGAGUAAUUUGAUUUUCAGUUCAAAGUCAAUAAAAAGAGGUAUGAGCAUAACUUGUUAUACAACUUCGGUCAUUAGAAAAGGUUAAUUUAUGGUUGAUUGCAUAUUAUAUUUACGAUGAUUUGUGUUACUUCAUUUGUAUUAAAUGGACCUCACUUCCCAUUUAGGUUGCUUUCUUCGUCUACCUAAAGGAGCUCACUGAUAUUGUGGCAAUAAUCUAGGAGGACCAUCAGUCAUAUGUUGAUUGAGUAUAGGUUUGUGUGCCUCGGCCUCAACUUUAAAUGAAAAACCUUUUAUUGUAUGUAGUUGAUCUACAUGUGUUUAUGAUCAGUAAGAUACUCUAUUGGCGAAUUGUUUAACUGUUUUCUUUUUUCCCGCUUUAGUUGGAGUAGUUACAAAAUGGCUUUCAUAGGACGAAAAGGUUUAUGUAAAUUUGCGAGCCAACUACCAUGGAUAAAGUGCACCCAAGAAACAUUAUAAUGCAUCCAUGGUCAAGUUUCCAUAGACUUGCUAAAGUUUAAGGAAGAUUUCCAAAGGAUGGUGAACUUCAAAUAAUUUUGUUUUUUGCCUUUCAACUUAUCAAGUUUCUGUGUAGUUACUAGAGGACAUCACAUUGUUUGAUCCUAUAAUUCUAGCUGCUUAUAUUGUCUGGAGAUUUUCAUAUUUCUAGGGUCAAUCGAUGUCUUAGAUUUAAUGCUAAACUAUGGUAUGUGCCUGUCGGUCGCGGCUGCGCUGUAGUGUUGAUCCCCUCUUCAUGGAUAUGGUUUGGGUCAUCGAGGCAUCACAUCAAGAGCUGAAGUCGUCUGGGUGGUGGUGUUCAUGACAUUUGUGUCUCUUCUCUCCCUUUUCAGUCUCUUUAUUUUUUAUACUUUAUCUUGUGACCAGCGACCACUAAUUUUCAUGUCCACUGGGAGGAAGAAGCAUGGUGGAUGAGCCUUUAUUUGCAACAACCACAUCAAAUAUUUGAAGAGAUGAAUCGAACUCGUAGUACCCAUUUUAAGUUAUCACAUCUAUCUCAAAUGAAAUUAUAUUUCUGUUGAUUUUUUGAGUUCCCAGUUUGUUGCUUCACAUAGACUAUUUAGGGGUUAUCUGAAAUAAACUUUUUAGGUAGUGCAGGAAACAAAAACAAAAGAAAUAAUAAAGAGCCAUUCCUGGUUUUGCUGGAGAAGGUGAAAGUCUUUGUAAAAGACCAGGUGUAAAACUGAUCUAAACAUAUUUUUUGUUGCUUCAUUGUUUUCUUAUUUUACAUGUAACUCUCAAUAUUUACACACUAUUUUAAUUAUGAUGUAAUCAAAGCAAAAGGGACUUGGGGCUCUAUGGAGUCUGCAGAAUGAUAAACUAGCCAUUUGCCUUCAACCACCUCCUUUUUUCUAUUAUAGAUGAUUGACCAG